rnacentral:rRNA from 1 species
GACGAACGCUGGCGGCGUGCUUAACACAUGCAAGUCGAGCGGUAAGGCCCUUUCGGGGGUACACGAGCGGCGAACGGGUGAGUAACACGUGGGUGACCUGCCCUCAGCUCUGGGAUAAGCCUGGGAAACUUGGUCUAAUACCGGAUAUGACUCCAUGACGCAUGUUGUGGGGUGGAAAGCCUUGUGCGGCUGAGGAUGGGCCCGCGGCCUAUCAGCUUGUUGGUGGGGUGANGGCCUACCAAGGCGACGACGGGUAGCCGGCCUGAGAGGGCGACCGGCCACACUGGGACUGAGACACGGCCCAGACUCCUACGGGAGGCAGCAGUGGGGAAUCUUGCGCAAUGGGCGAAAGCCUGACGCAGCGACGCCGCGUGAGGGAUGACGGCCU